AUUGAACGCUGGCGGCAUGCCUUACACAUGCAAGUCGAACGGCAGCACGGGAGCAAUCCUGGUGGCGAGUGGCGAACGGGUGAGUAAUACAUCGGAACGUGCCCAAUCGUGGGGGAUAACGCAGCGAGAGCUGUGCUAAUACCGCAUACGAUCUACGGAUGAAAGCAGGGGAUCGCAAGACCUUGCGCGAAUGGAGCGGC
rnacentral:rRNA from 1 species